ensembl:snRNA U6 U6 spliceosomal RNA
GUUCUCGCUUCAGCAGCACAUAUAUUAAAACUGGAACAAUAAAGAGAUUAGUAUGGCCCUUGUGCAAGGAUGGUACAUGAAUUUGUGAAGCAUUCCAUAUUAUA